ensembl:lncRNA
CUAGUGAAUCGCUAUAUAAAACGCAGGUGUCACAUCGAUAACAGUCCGGGUUGGGACGUGCAAACGGAACGGAGUUGUCCAGGAUCUGUGUUUCACGCCGGAGUGUGUUACAUUCUGCCUUGACAUUAUUGUUAUUGAUACACCCCCGAAUUGGAAAGUCUGAGCCUGUAGAACAGCACGAGCUCCAGAGGUGUAUGACACUGUGGUGGUGUUCACGUCUGUAACCUGGAACAGUCAUCAUGCUGGAUGACGAAGCUGUAGUUCAACAACAUAAAUUCAAAAACAGACGCAGAAACGGAGAUGAACUCAGGCUCCAUCCAUGACUCGGGGACCAUUUCGGUUAUAUUUCAGCUCGACUCUGUGACUUAUUCGAAGUAACAGGUAAUAGUUCCAGGUAAAACCUUUUUCUCCAGCAGAAGCAGAGUGGGAACAUUGGUUCAGUGGGCUAUAAAACAUUACCCUGAUGAUCUAUUGCCCCCAAG